UACGGAGGGUGCAAGCGUUAUCCGGAUUCACUGGGUUUAAAGGGUGCGUAGGCGGGCAGGUAAGUCAGUGGUGAAAUCUCCGGGCUUAACCCGGAAACUGCCGUUGAUACUAUCUGUCUUGAAUAUCGUGGAGGUAAGCGGAAUAUGUCAUGUAGCGGUGAAAUGCUUAGAUAUGACAUAGAACGCCCAUUGCGAAGGCAGCUUACUACACGAUCAUUGACGCUGAGGCACGAAAGCGUGGGGAGCAAACAGG
rnacentral:rRNA from 1 species